UGAGGAAUAUUGGUCAAUGGGCGAGAGCCUGAACCAGCCAAGUAGCGUGCAGGAUGACGGCUCUAUGGGUUGUAAACUGCUUUUAUGCGGGGAUAAAGUGCGUGACGUGUCGUGCAUUGCAGGUACCGAAUGAAUAAGGACCGGCUAAUUCCGUGCCAGCAGCCGCGGUAAUACGGAAGGUCCGGGCGUUAUCCGGAUUUAUUGGGUUUAAAGGGAGCGUAGGCCGCCAGAUAAGCGUGUUGUGAAAUGUACCGGCUCAACCGGUGAAUUGCAGCGCGAACUGUUUGGCUUGAGUGCACGGUAAGCAGGCGGAAUUCAUGGUGUAGCGGUGAAAUGCAUAGAUAUCAUGAAGAACUCCGAUUGCGAAGGCAGCUUGCUGCAGUGCGACUGACGCUGAUGCUCGAAGGUGCGGGUAUCAAACAGG
rnacentral:rRNA from 1 species